rnacentral:rRNA from 1 species
UACGUAGGGAGCGAGCGUUGUCCGGAAUUACUGGGUGUAAAGGGAGCGUAGGCGGGCGAGAAAGUUGAAUGUUAAAUCUACCGGCUUAACUGGUAGCUGCGUUCAAAACUUCUUGUCUUGAGUGAAGUAGAGGCAGGCGGAAUUCCUAGUGUAGCGGUGAAAUGCGUAGAUAUUAGGAGGAACACCAGUGGCGAAGGCGGCCUGCUGGGCUUUAACUGACGCUGAGGCUCGAAGGCGUGGGGAGCAAACAGG